rnacentral:rRNA from 1 species
GAGUUUGAUCGUGGCUCAGAGUGAACGCUGGCGGUAGGCCUAACACAUGCAAGUCGAACGGCAGCACAGUAAGAGCUUGCUCUUAUGGGUGGCGAGUGGCGGACGGGUGAGGAAUACAUCGGAAUCUACUUUUUUCGUGGGGGAUAACGUAGGGAAACUUACGCUAAUACCGCAUACGACCUACGGGUGAAAGCAGGGGAUCUUCGGACCUUGCGCGAUUGAAUGAGCCGAUGUCGGAUUAGCUAGUUGCGGGGUAAAGGCCCACCAAGGCGCGAUCCGUAGCUGGUCUGAGAGGAUGAUCAGCCACACUGGAACUGAGACACGGUCCAGACUCCUACGGGAGGCAGCAGUGGGAAGUAUU